rnacentral:rRNA from 1 species
GAAACUAACAAGGAUUCCCUCAGUAGCGGCGAGCGAAGAGGGAAGAGCCCAGCGCCGAAUCCCCGCCCGGCGGUCGGGCGUGGGAAAUGUGGCGUACGGAAGUCCGCUUGCCCGGUGUCGGCAGGGGGUCUGAGUCCUUCUGAUAGAGGCUCAACCCGUAGACGGUGUGAGGCCGGUAAUGGCACCCGUCGCGCCGGGGUCCGGUCUUCUCGGAGUCGGGUUGUUUGUGAAUGCAGCCCAAAGCGGGUGGUAAACUCCAUCUAAGGCUAAAUACCGGCGCGAGACCGAUAGUCGACAAGUACCU